rnacentral:rRNA from 1 species
CCUACGGGAGGCAGCAGUGGGGAAUAUUGGGCAAUGGAGGAAACUCUGACCCAGCGACGCCGCGUGCGGGAUGAAGGCCUUCGGGUUGUAAACCGCUUUCAGUAGGGAAGAAGCGAAAGUGACGGUACCUACGGAAGAAGCACCGGCUAACUAUGUGCCAGCAGCCGCGGUAAUACAUAGGGUGCAAGCGUUGUCCGGAAUUAUUGGGCGUAAAGAGCUCGUAGGUGGUUCGUCACGUCGGAUGUGAAAAUCUGGGGCUCAACCCCAGACCUGCAUUCGAUACGGGCGAUCUAGAGUGUGGUAGGGGAGACUGGAAUUCCUGGUGUAGCGGUGGAAUGCGCAGAUAUCAGGAGGAACACCAAUGGCGAAGGCAGGUCUCUGGGCCAUUACUGACACUGAGGAGCGAAAGCGUGGGGAGCGAACAGGAUUAGAUACCCUGGUAGUCCACGCCGUAAACGGUGGGCACUAGUUGUGGGAACCUUCCACGGUUUCUGCGACGCAGCUAACGCAUUAAGUGCCCCGCCUGGGGGAGGUACGAGUCGCGAGAGUUAAACGUACGAAGUAAGUAGUACGCGUUGAGACGUUGCCGACGGCGACGACGAGGGAGGUUAGG